GACGAAGGAUGCAAGCGUUAUCCGGAUUCAUUGGGUUUAAAGGGAGCGUAGGUGGCCUUAUAAGUCAGUGGUGAAAUCUCGAGGCUUAACCUCGAAAUUGCCAUUGAUACUGUAGGGCUUGAGUAUAGUUCCGUUGGCGGAAUAUGACAUGUAGUGGUGAAAUACAUAGAGAUGUCAUAGAACACCGAUUGCGAAGGCAGCUAACGAAACUAUAACUGACACUGAGGCUCGAAAGUGCGGGGAUCAAACAGG
rnacentral:rRNA from 1 species